rnacentral:rRNA from 1 species
GACGAACGCUGGCGGCGUGCUUAACACAUGCAAGUCGAACGGUGAUGCUCCAGCUUGCUGGAGUGGAUCAGUGGCGAACGGGUGAGUAACACGUGAGCAACCUGCCCCAGACUCUGGAAUAAGCGCUGGAAACGGCGUCUAAUACUGGAUACGAAACUGGCCCGCAUGGGCAUGGUUUGGAAAGUUUUUCGGUUUGGGAUGGGCUCGCGGCCUAUCAGCUUGUUGGUGAGGUAAUGGCUCACCAAGGCGACGACAGGUAGCCGGCCUGAGAGGGCGACCGGCCACACUGGGACUGAGACACGGCCCAGACUCCUACGGGAGGCAGCAGUGGGGAAUAUUGCACAAUGGGCGAAAGCCUGAUGCAGCGACGCCGCGUGAGGGAUGACGGCCUUCGGGUUGUAAACCUCUUUCAGCAGGGAAGAAGCGAAAGUGACGGUACCUGCAGAAGAAGCACCGGCUAACUACGUG